ensembl:lncRNA
AACGCUAGGGACGCUGUUGGAAUCCAGAGCUCACCAUGAACACCUGACCUGGCCAAGGCAUUAAAAGCCCACCCCAAAUGACCGAGAAGCCAGACGGUGACAGGAAUAACAACACCUCACUGGGAAAAGCCUGUCAAAACCUUCAUUUUAAUUCCACACUCCUCAUAUUAGUUAAAGACAGCUUGUCAGUGGAAGAUGCCUGUGGGAUGGCACAUAUAAUUCCUGUACAACACAUCAACAUGGGGACUGUAUUCAUAUCACUGGCCUUGUAUUCAGUCAGAGGUCAAAGACCAGUUACAUGCAUGGUUAAAAAAAGUGUGUAAACCUAAUAUUCAGUUGCCAGGUUGGAUGGGAAGAUCUACAUCAGAUAUUAAAUGACACACUUCCAAAGUAUUUGAAAGUCAAAAUACAUUUUAAACCAUAUUUACUUUCUGUAUUAUUGUAAAAGUUUUGUCAGUGUAUGUAAUAAAAAAAAGUAAUAAAAUAAAAUAAAAUUACUUUGGCUUUGUAGUCUUGGGAAUCAACGUUCCUUUUCUUUUCUCAAACUGCCAUAUGUCUAUGUAGU